CAAUAGCGUAUAUUAAUGUUGUUGCAGUUAAAAAGCUCGUAGUUGGAUUUCUGCGCCGCGCAGCUCGGUCCGCCGCAAUGCGGUGCGACUGUGGCUGGAGCGUCGCAUCCUUGUGGAGACCUUUGAUGCCAUUGAUUUGGUGUUGAAUGGGAACCGCAUCGUUUACUGUGAAAAAAUUAGAGUGUUCAAAGCAGGCAUACGCCGUGAAUACAUUAGCAUGGAAUAAUAAGAUAGGACUUUGGUUCUAUUUUGUUGGUCGGAGGCCAAGGUAAUGAUUAAUAGGGAUAGUUGGGGGUAUUCAUAUUUAAUUGUCAGAGGUGAAAUUCUUGGAUUUAUGAAAGAUGAACUUAUGCGAAAGCAUUUACCAAGGAUGUUUUCAUUAA
rnacentral:rRNA from 1 species